AGCUACCGGGUAAAAUUUUCAUUAAACACUGAAAGGACCCUCCAAGUUAAUCAUUGUGAAUUCUUCCUGUGCAAAAACGAAUGUGCUUUUCUCUUUGACAAGGCCACUAGAAAACCAAAAAUGCAAUAUAGGAAUACAAGAAGUUUGCCUGCAGAUGAGAGUGCAACCUGGCUGACACCUUGAUUGCCAGCUUUGAGAACCUGCACAGAGACCUCAGACAAACCAUGCUCAGACUCCUGACUUAAAGUCUUCACUGGAAAAUAUCAUUCCACCGAACAACAAACACAGUAGACUUGAUAUAUUUUGAAUACGGCAACAAGAAAGCCAGCAAAACCAACCGAAUGUCCAUCUAUUUGCUUCCCCAAAUCACUGUUAGAACUCAAGCGCACACAACAAAAAGCCAGAAGUCCA